rnacentral:rRNA from 1 species
GACGAACGCUGGCGGCGUGCCUAAUACAUGCAAGUAGAACGCACAGUUUAUACCGUAGCUUGCUACACCAUAGACUGUGAGUUGCGAACGGGUGAGUAACGCGUAGGUAACCUGCCUGGUAGCGGGGGAUAACUAUUGGAAACGAUAGCUAAUACCGCAUAAUAUUGAUUAUUGCAUGAUAAUUGAUUGAAAGAUGCUAUUGCAUCACUACCAGAUGGACCUGCGUUGUAUUAGCUAGUAGGUGAGGUAACGGCUCACCUAGGCGACGAUACAUAGCCGACCUGAGAGGGUGAUCGGCCACACUGGGACUGAGACACGGCCCAGACUCCUACGGGAGGCAGCAGUAGGGAAUCUUCGGCAAUGGACGAAAGUCUGACCGAGCAACGCCGCGUGAGUGAAGAAGGGUUUCGGAUCGUAAAGCUCUGUUGUAAGAGAAGAACGGGUGUGAGAGUGGAAAGUUCACACUGUGACGGUAUCUGACCAGAAAGAGACGGCUAACUACGUG